AAUAUCUGAUUUUAGAUAUUUUAGUUUUGUUUUCCGUAAAAUUUAGAACUCCGUAAUUACAUACAAAUAUAUAAGAUAUACAUACAUAUAUAUGUACUGUUACAACCCUAAAACUAAAAUUCUUUGAUAAAGUUGUUCUAAACUUUCUCCCCUCAGUUCAGACCUUGAGCAUCUCCUGAUAAAUAAUAGGGUGAAUUAGCCAAAUAACCAAAUUUGAAAAGAAAAUUAAGUGUAUAGCAUUGAUUUUGACAUAAUAAAGCCCAUAACAAUUAUGUCAACUUCUAUCCGGUAAUACUCUUUUUUUGUUCAAGUUGUCAGUAAUAGAGAGAGAAACUGAUGAUAUCAACUAGAGAUGGCAUUUGGUACCACCCGCCCCGCAUUGGCCCGCCCCGCUGCGGUCUCUCUCUCCGGCGGUUCUUUGCGGGUAAGCCCGCCGUGACCCGCGGUACUUAAACCUCUGCCCAAACCCGCCCCGCUUACUACAUAGGACAUUGCGGGCUGGCCCGCGGGUAUGCAAAACAUGAUGUUUCAUUGGGGUGAGCUUGAGAAGAUGUUGUUGUUGUUGUUGUUGCACGGUGCAACUUGCUUCGGACGAGGAGAUGGAGAGUUCCAGUGGAAGCUCGAGGAAGGAGAGAAGCUCCAGUGGUGGUGGAAAGAAGAUGGAGAGAAGCUCUGAUGGUGGUCUUAGUCGAGGAGAAGAAGAAUCGGUGUAAAGACAGCAAAUGAGGAAGUGGUCGCGGGUUAUGUCGACCCCGCAAGACCCGCUGAGCCUAGACCGCAAAAGCCCAAACCCGCAUGACACUUACCCGCGAGACCCGCUUUUAAAUGGGCUUCGAUUACCUUUACCCAAAUCCGCCCCGCAUGGGUCUUGUACGGGCCAGGCCCGCGGGCUGCGGUCAAAAUGCCAUCUCUAAUAUCAACAAUCUGACACCCCACAAUUAAUUAUCACACGUAAUUCAAUCAACACCACACAUUUGUUUAACACAUAAAUAUACAUCUAAUUUUUCUAUACCAUAUUACUAAAAAUAAUAGGAUUCAAAAUCCACUCACACCUAGUAAAUACUAAACUUUAAUCCAAACCUCAACUCCAAAAUAAUAAACCCUAAACUUUAAACAUCCCCUUCCAUCUAAAUACUAAACCCUAAACCCUAAUUACUGAACCCUAAACCCAAAUAUAAACCUUAAACCCAAUUAUCAAAAUCUGAAAAUAGUAUAUAAUAUUAUGUAAUAUUAAACUAAAUCCAAACAAAACUCCUCAAUGCUAAACUCAGACCUAACUUUUGAAUACUAAACCCAAAAAUGCUAUCACUAAACCCAAACCUAAACUCCCACCUUCCAAAUACUAAACCCUAAAUCCUAAUCACUAAACCCUAAACCCAAGUAUAGACUAUAAACCCAAAUAGAAUGGAACAAAAUACAUAGUAUAGUAUAAAUUGGUAAGCAAAAAAAACACCCUUUUUUAAUCGUCAAAUGGAACAUACAUAAUACGGUCACUAAACCCAAACAUCAACCCCCACCUUCCAAAUACUAAACCCUAAAUCUUAAUCAUUAAACCUAAACCCAAGUAUAAACUCUAAACCCAAAUAGUAUAGAACAAAAUAAAUAGUAUAGUACAUAUAGUUGUAAACAAGAAAUUGAUAAAUAAUGAAUUUAUCAAACAAUCGAUGGUACAAUAAUACAACAACCGUAGCAUACUAUUUAGUUUGGUACUUGCGAAUUGUACAAAAAUAUAAGAAUCGUACUAUACUAUAAUUUUCUUUCACUACAUAUAGUAUAGUCGACGAGUUCAUCUUCUUCACAUCUUCCUCUUUUUACAGACAUGGUGAUACACACAUUCACUAGUACAGAGUAAUUAUUCUUCAUCAUACCAUAUCAAUACAGCAUACUAUAACAAUUUAAAUAACAAUGAAAAAAAUCAAGAUGAACAACAUUGAAAAAAACUAAAAAAAAAAAAGAAAUUGUGAUGUCACCUCGUUGUUGUCUACGGUGCCAUCUUCUCCUCCAAACUCAAUUCUACAAGCCCAAAAUCCAUAUUAUUUCUUAGUCUAGUGGUUUGUAUUCGUAUGUAUAAAAAAAACAGAGAUUGGAGGAGAAGAGGAAGAAGAAGAGAAAGAGAUGUGGAA